rnacentral:rRNA from 1 species
ACAGAGGUCCCAAGCGUUGUUCGGAUUUACUGGGCGUAAAGGGAGCGUAGGUGGCAGGCUAAGUCUGAUGUGAAAGCUCUGAGCUCAACUCAGAAAUGGCAUUAGAUACUAGUUUGCUUGAGGAUUGGAGGGGAGAUUGGAAUUCUCGGUGUAGCAGUGAAAUGCGUAGAUAUCGAGAGGAACACCAGUGGCGAAGGCGAAUCUCUGGACAAUUCCUGACACUGAGGCUCGAAAGCUAGGGGAGCAAACGG